GUUCAUCUGUGUGUGGAUGGUGUUCAGUACCAAGAACAGGCAUGUUCAUCUGUGUGUGGAUGGUGUUCAGCACCAUUUGUAUCCAUAUUUCACA
rnacentral:pre_miRNA from 1 species